AAGAGUUGUGGUAUUAUAUAUGUAUGAAAAAAUUAUGGUACAAAAUUUCCAUCUUAGCAAUAAUGUUAAUACUUAAUAGUGACUAGAAAAUUCUGACUACAAAUCAGGUUAUAUUUUGAAGUUUACUGAUUAAAUAACCUGAAAUAUGUUUGAUGGAUCAUGGAUGAUCAUACAUGCUAGGAUUGCAAUUUGUUUCUUCUUUUUUCGGAUCUCUGGCAGUGCUGGGAAAAAAAAUAAAAAUUGAGGGAAAAUUGAAGGAAAUAAGAAUAGAAGGCCACAAAGAAAAGUUUGAAUGAGAAGGUGGUGAAAUGCAUCUCUUGCAAGUCUGCAACAAAUGCAUCAGAUCUGCUUCUCUUUCUUCCUCGGCCUUUCCUUUUAUUUUCCCUUGCUCAAUAAUUGUCAGCCAUUACCUCUAAAGAUCUCAAACAGUAAUAGAAAUUGAAACACUAUCCGUCACACAUAAUCUGGAUUAUUUGAUAGAUUAGAGAGUGAGUAGUCAACAUGAUUCAAGGUAUAAGCUCAUAUCUAUUGUUAUUAUUUGUAGGUUUGAUUCACACUAAUGUUGAGAUAACAAAAAUUUCACCAAAAUUGUUUCAUAUACACAAUUUAUCACCAUAUAGUCUUAUACACUUGAUAAACAUUCAAUUUUGACUCUAAAAUAUUGAAUACAUUGAGAUAUGUUCUUAAAAACUUUAAAAGAACAAUUGAUGCCAAUCAAACAACCAUCAUUGCACACAGACACUCCUUGGUGCUUUAUGUUCCCUUGCUGACAGUGACUGAUUGUACUUAACACAGAAAUGAGAUACGCUCCUUUGUGCUUUAUGUUCUAUGUAGUCAUCUUCCCGUUCCCGUGUGUAGUCAAGUUCCUGUUCUCAAACUCCGAUCAUGGCUCCAAGCUUGACUCCCCAACUUUUAUUUUGAAAGAUUGAGCUGUAAAUUGCUGACAGUGACUGAUUGUACCCAACACAGAAGUGAGAAGUCUGACAAGUUCUGCCUCUUGUAUUGAGAUCAAAUUAUAGUGUGCACUCGUAGAGAAUCGGUAGAAGCAGAGUUGAGGAUUGGAGAAAUUAAAUAAGAAAAAUGUCAGGAACUAGGUUUGUUAAUUUUAUAUAAUAUUGUGAUUUUCAGUUAUUUAAGUGCAGGAAUGUAAGAUGUAAAACAACAAUUCGAUAUAGAUUGAAGAGAAAGAGUCGAAGAGAGAUAUAAAUUAGAAAUAAGAGAGAGUUUAGAGAGAUAAAAGCUUGACAAAAGCUUAGAGAAGAAGUGAGUUAAAUAUAGAGAAAGAAAAUAGUGGUGGAACAAGUUCAAAUUUCAUGUCAUUUUACAUGAUUGAGAAUUACAACUGCUACUUCUAUAUAGACUUAGCUAACCAGUAACAACUUCUGAGAAAGAUACAAACACCCCUACACCUUAAUACUCAACUACAACUGCUGUUACUUAUUAGUCACACUACUACUAUUAAGUAAUACUCCUAAUAUAGGCUAGUCCUAACAUAUGGAAAUAUAAAAUAUACAGAAUCAAGUGCAAGGGGUAUAAUUCACCUAUAAGCAAUUGAGCAUUCAAUCGCAGUAUGGCAGUCAGCAAUAGAACAUUAAAAAUAAAAUGAUAUAGACCAUUUUUUCCUUAAAAAAAUUGUUAUUUGGUGCCUUGACAUAUAAUUGUUAUUGCUUGAUGAGUACAAUUUUGUAGCUUAAAGGUAACAAAGUUGAAUUUUGAGUCCAUUGGUAUUUGGUACCUCAAAUAGUUGUUAACGUCAAUACUUUGCAACUUGGACAAGUAACCUAGUGAAGUUCCCAAGUAUUAACUUCAACAAAGCAGGUAGUACAUUCGUUCUGCUAGAAGGAAUAAUUAAUUAGGACAGGUUCUGUUAGGUUCUUAGAUUCGGGUCUUUUCGUGCUUAUGUUUUUACUUACUUUGGUUAGUUACUAAUAUACAUCAGUGUUUAGAAAUCUGAAUUUGUAAAGCACUUAUUUUCUGUUGUGUGCUCCUUAACCUAUUAGAGCUCGUCCAUCAAUUCUUUCUGAAAAAAGAGCGAGAACGCUAAGAAAAGAUUCGAUACAUGAUAGAUAAAGAUUAAUAUUUACAGUAAGAGUUAGGUAGUGGUUUAUUCUUAGAUGCUCCUAUUCUCCAAGUACUUGACUUACCCAAUUCUUGGCAGGACGACACCUCAGCUACUUGUUUCCUGCUUCAUUGCCAGAAAUUCAUUGAGCUGGUUCGGGAAGCAAAUCUGGAGAAAGCUAUCUUCUAUGGAAGGAGUGCAUUUGAAAAGUUCUAUGAGUUUGAAGAAGAUAAAGAUCUGCUUAAGGACUGUUCUGCUCUGUUAGUGUAUGCACAACUAGAGAAAUCAUCAGUUGGAUAUCUUCUAGAAGAUUCACAACGAGAAAUUGUGGUGGAUGCAGUUAAUGCGUUUGUCUUGUCAGUAAAUCCCAACUUAGAAGAUCGAAAGAGUUGCUCGCAAUCUCAUCUUGAGAAGUUACUGAGGCAACUAACUGCUUGUUUCUUGGAGGGGAGGUCGCUAAAUGGUACCAAGGUGAAGCAUUCCAUAUCCACAGAAUACUAGAGGCCUCAGUAAGAAGGGUUUAGAUAUCAAAACUAGUAGUUUUACAACUCUCGUCUUGACGGCCCCAAAUUCAGUUCAUAUAUCCAGAUGUUGGCAAGAGUCCAAAAGUGAAAGUUUUUGCAUGUCGAACAUCAGAAUAGAAGUCAUCUGUAAUAUAUAUGUUUUGGAUGUUCUACAUUGCUCAGGACACUGUGUUUUCUGUUCUCCAUGUUCAUGUUUGCGUCUCUGAGAUAUACAUGUAGAGUCUGUAGGCAGUCCCAGCUUAUUGGUAAUUACAAAUUCUUUCCACACAAGUUAAUAAGAAUGUUGUUCUAUAAAGUGGCAAUUUACAGUUUCAUGUGCUGUGUUUGACCGUAAAUAUCUCACUUAAAGAAGUUAUUUCUCACUUAAAACAGAGAAAUGGAUUAUAAGUGAUAAGUAGAAGAUGAUUUAUAAGUUAUUAAAGUGUUUGGAUAAUGUAAAUUAUAGAUUAUUUAAGUGUUUGGAUAAUUAUAAUUUUACUCAGAAUGUUUGGUAAUUU